ACGGCUCAGUAACACGUGGCUAACCCACCCUUGAGACGGAGAAAACCCCGGGAAACUGGGGUUAAUCUCCGAUAAGAGAAGACACCUGGAGUGGGUCUCCUCUCAAAGGGCGCCUAGACCAUGCUUCUAGGCGUUGCUCAAGGACGGGGCCGCGGCCGAUCAGGUCGUUGGUGAGGCAACGGCUCACCAAGCCUAUAACCGGUACGGGCCGUGAGAGCGGGAGCCCGGAGAUGGGCACUGAGACAAGGGCCCAGGCCCUACGGGGCGCAGCAGUUGCGAAAACUCCGCAAUGCACGAAAGUGUGACGGGGCUACCCCGAGUGCCGUCCGCUGAGGGCGGCUUUUCCCCGGUGUAAGGAGCCGGGGGAAUAAGGAGAGGGCAAGUCUGGUGUCAGCCGCCGCGGUAAUACCAGCUCUCCGAGUGGUAGGGAUGAUUAUUGGGCUUAAAGCGUCCGUAGCCGGCCCGGCAAGUCUUCCGUUAAAUCCAACGAUUCAAUCGUUGGACUGCAGGAGAUACUGCUGGGCUAGGAGGCGGGAGAGGCCGACGGUAUUCUCGGGGUAGGGGUAAAAUCCUAUAAUCCCGGGAGGACCACCAGUGGCGAAGGCGGUCGGCUAGAACGCGCUCGACGGUGAGGGACGAAAGCUGGGGGAGCGAACCGGAUUAGAUACCCGGGUAGUCCCAGCUGUAAACGAUGCGGGCUAGGUGUUGGGGCGGCUACGGGCCGCUUCAGUGCCGCAGGGAAACCAUUAAGCCCGCCGCCUGGGGAGUACGGCCGCAAGGCUGAAACUUAAAGGAAUUGGCGGGGGAG
rnacentral:rRNA from 1 species